GGUGCCAUAGCUCAGUUGGUAGAGCAACGGACUGAAAAUCCGUGUGUCGCUGGUUCGAUUCCAGCUGGCACCA
rnacentral:tRNA from 2 species